UGAUUUGCCUAAGAGCUGUAGCACGGUUUGUCCAAGACCCUAGAGCUGUGACGCGCCGAGGGCUUUAAUGUCCAUUGCUCCAAAUCUUUGUUGUGACGAGACAAAGAACCGAGGAACAUACACUUGCAUGACAUCGAUGGUGCCGUGACUCGGAUUUAACCUGGCUGAAACAACCUCUGUGCGGAAGAGGCCAAACACAGCAGGAGCCCAACUCAGUGAAGCUCCCACACUAGAAGCAGAAGGUGAAGAAACCCAGCGCAGGGGAAGGCCCAUCGUGCUGGAAACCGGGACAGCGAAAACCGAACUCAGCAGAAAGCUCACGCAGCCCAGUCUCAGGUUCCAGAGGACCUCCGGUUAAGUGUCACAUGAGGAAUGAGGAGAAGCCUGUGACUCUGAUAGCUUGUGGUGAAUGAUGCAGGAUUCAUGAUCUCUGAAGAAGAUUUAACUUCAGGACCAAGGACCAGGCUUGAUCACUCAAGAGGUUUUCUGUAGCAGAGUUUUCUUAAAGUAAGAGAAGGGACAGAGAAAGCUUCUGACACAGAUCUCAGAAGGGGGACAGUGAGUACUCCCCCUCACUAGUGUUAACAAGGCAGUUAUAUACUUUUUAAAUUAGUUACUACAAUAAAUCAAAAGAAUGUC